rnacentral:misc_RNA from 1 species
GAUGAAGAACGCAGCGAAAUGCGAUAAGUAAUGUGAAUUGCAGAAUUCAGUGAAUCAUCGAAUCUUUGAACGCACAUUGCGCCCCUUGGUAUUCCGAGGGGCAUGCCUGUUCGAGCGUCAUUUAAACCAAUCUAGCUUGCUAGGUCUUGGGCUUUCGCCUCUGGGCGGGCCUCAAAAUCAGUGGCGGUGCUGCCGGGCUUUAAGCGUAGUAAUCUUUCUCGCUAUAGGGUCCUGGUAGAGGCUAGCCAACAACUAUAAAUCUUUCAAAGGUUGACCUCGGAUCAGGUAGGGAUACCCGCUGAACUUAAGCAUAUCAAUAAGCGGAGGA